UGGAUAGACAGAUCUGUGAUGC
rnacentral:siRNA from 1 species